AUGAUGCAUAGCCCGAGUUGAGAGACUGAUCGGCCACGAUUGGGGACUGAGACACGGCCCAAACUCCUACGGGAGGCAGCAGUAGGGAAUCUUCCACAAUGGACGCAAGUCUGAUGGAGCAAACGCCGCGUGAGUGAAGAAGGGUUUCGGCUCGUAAAGCUCUGUUGUUGGUGAAGAAGGACAGGGGUAGUAACUGACCCUUUGUUUGACGAUAAUCAAUUAGAAAGUCACGGGCUAACUACGUGCCAGCAGCCGCGGUAAAU
rnacentral:rRNA from 1 species